AGGUUUAUCUAAACCGUACUGGAAACCGACACAGGUGGUCAGGUAGAGAAUACUAAGGCGCUUGAGAGAACUCGGGUGAAGGAACUAGGCAAAAUAGCACCGUAACUUCGGGAGAAGGUGCGCUGGCGUAGUGUGAAGUUCUUCGCGAAUGGAGCAUGAACCAGUCGAAGCGACGAGCUGGCUGCAACUGUUUAAUAAAAACACAGCACUCUGCAAACACGAAAGUGGACGUAUAGGGUGUGAUGCCUGCCCGGUGCUGGAAGGUUAAUUGAUGGUGUUAUCGAAAGAGAAGCACCUGAUCGAAGCCCCAGUAAACGGCGGCCGUAACUAUAACGGUCCUAAGGUAGCGAAAUUCCUUGUCGGGUAAGUUCCGACCUGCACGAAUGGCAUAAUGAUGGCCAGGCUGUCUCCACCCGAGACUCAGUGAAAUUGAAAUCGCCGUGAAGAUGCGGUGUACCCGCGGCUAGACGGAAAGACCCCGUGAACCUUUACUAUAGCUUGACACUGAACCUUGAAUUUUAAUGUGUAGGAUAGGUGGGAGACAGAGAAGCGGUAACGCCAGUUAUCGUGGAGUCGAUGUUGAAAUACCACCCUUUAACGUUUGAUGUUCUAACGAGGCGCCUGGGACAGGUGUUCGGACAGUGUCUGGUGGGUAGUUUGACUGGGGCGGUCUCCUCCCAAAGGGUAACGGAGGAGCACGAAGGUUGGCUAAUGACGGUCGGACAUCGUCAGGUUAGUGCAAUGGUAGAAGCCAGCUUAACUGCGAGACGGACAAGUCGAGCAGGUACGAAAGUAGGUCAUAGUGAUCCGGUGGUUCUGAAUGGAAGGGCCAUCGCUCAACGGAUAAAAGGUACUCCGGGGAUAACAGGCUGAUACCGCCCAAGAGUUCAUAUCGACGGCGGUGUUUGGCACCUCGAUGUCGGCUCAUCACAUCCUGGGGCUGAAGUAGGUCCCAAGGGUAUGGCUGUUCGCCAUUUAAAGUGGUACGCGAGCUGGGUUUAGAACGUCGUGAGACAGUUCGGUCCCUAUCUGCCGUGGGCGUUGGAGGAUUGAGGGGGGUUGCUCCUAGUACGAGAGGACCGGAGUGAACGCACCGCUGGUGUUCCAGUUGUUUCGCCAGAAGCAUAGCUGGGUAGCUAAGUGCGGAAGAGAUAAGUGCUGAAAGCAUCUAAGCACGAAACUUGCCCCGAGAUGAGUUCUCCCUGACAGAGAGUCAGUAAGGGUUGUUGAAGACGACGACGUAGAUAGGUGGGGUGUGUAAGCGGUGUGAGCCGUUGAGCUAACCCAUACUAAUUGCCCGAGAGGCUUAACUAU
rnacentral:rRNA from 1 species